GAAUGGGGCUGGCUGAGCACCGUGGGUCGGCGAGGGCCCGCCAAGGAAGGAGCGACCGACCGAGCCAGGCGCCCUCCGCAGACCUCCGCGCAGCGGCCGCGGGCGCGAGGGGAGGGGUCUGGAGCUCCCUCCGGCUGCCUGUCCCGCACCGGAGCCCGUGGGGUGGGGAGGUGUGCAGCCUGUGACAGACAGGGGCUUAGAGAUGCAAACAGACUCAGGGAGAGAAACAGAAGCUGAUUCUGUGACAGAAGCAGAUCUGUGCAGCACAGAUGCGGUGUGCGUGGGGAGGGGGUCGCCUGGGAGCGCAUUGCGGAGUGCUUGUGUGUGCAGAUUUUUCUCUGGGCUCAGGACUCAUUGUAUGUGGGUCAACACCUUCCUCCGUGACUGUGUUUUUGUUCUGAGCUGAGUUUUUUGGUUUGCCCUUAAAAAAAUAAUAAUUUGGCAUCCAGAGACUGGCAGACUGCCUCAGGGCCUGGACUGCGGAUAUAUUGUGUUCUGCUUGAGGUUUGGGGAGGAGGGCAGGCGGUAGGAAGGGAGAGGGGGAGCUGUUUGUCACACUUUGCUGUAGAGCUGAGAGCACCUGACAAGCUUAAGGAAGUCGUUGGGCUAUGUGGACAAGAAGGAGCCAGCUCCCAGCGGGUUCACAAGCUCUAUCGGAGUUGAAAGCGUGGUCAUGGCUCUAAGGAGCACCUCACGCCCUCCCUGUAGCUGUUAUUGCAGUUUCAGGCAGAGAUCCAGGAGCUGCAGAGGAAGGGAGAGGCACAAUAACCUACAUGGACCCAAGGGAGACAUGUGUUCCUUUAAAAAUGUGAACAGAAGGAAAAACAGAAUGUGUGCAACUGGGGGUCUGAGGAAAGACUGUUUUGAAAGAGGCUGUCAGGGAAUGGAAAGGGUUAAGCUUUUCAUCCUGAAGAACCUGCUUCCCAAAUCAGGCCUUCCUCCCAUCACUAGACCCUGAGCAGCAGCUGGUCCUAGAGACCCCCCUCGUACUGCGCUGCCACAGUCUCAUCCCAUUUCCAGCUCUGUAUUAACCACCAAGCUGCAGCGGAUGGGGCAAGACCUAAGCUCAUUAAUUUCCAGGUGGAGGAAAUGGAGGAGGGGCAGGUCCCUGCAGUAGAGGGAGGAGCAGAGAAAGGAGGCCAAGAGCUGGAUCCUUCUGCCCAGGAAGCCUGCUGCAUCCCUUCCCCCGAGCAUGGCAGAGGCCUGGCUUUGCAAGGCCAAGGCCAUAAGGGAUGCUUAGGAGAUUAAUUUGAUUCCUGACACAAUAAUCAAGCCCUAAGAGUCUCCACUGAAGCUUACUGAGGACUUCUUUCCUCUCCAAAGCCUCAGUCUAGCCUGCUAAAUAAAUUAGUAUUCAGUGAUGCCUUGGAUCAGGGCCCCUCCCCGGCCUCAGUUUCCCCAAAUAUUUAUUAAGUACCUACUGUGUGCAAUCCUUGUGUAAUUAUUAACUCUUAGGCUCUUCAUUUGCCCUCCUAAAGCAGUGUUUAGAGUCAGGCAGAGGUUAAGUGUGUUGCACCUCACCUAGAUACUUCCAGAACCUUCUCUGGGUCUGCAGAAUGUGGCACAACCUGCUUGCCCCCGCAGAGAGAAAGCUGCAGUGCACAUCCUGCAGACUGCAGGUGCUGGGCUGCCUCUGGAGUCCCAGAAGGCAAGCUUGGCUGCAGGACAGAAAGGGAGAACAGCUUCUCUCACCCCUGAGCCUUCACAAGCCCUUGUCUAUUUGCCGUUGCCUUCAAAAUAUACCUCCCCCGAAACCAGUAGCUUUCUGAGUCCUGGUGUCCCCUCCGCCCUUUCUGGACAGGUUUGGGAAGAAGAAAGCAGUCAGUGCUGGGCCUUAUUGGGGUGUGAAGCGCCUUGCUCUGCCCCUUCUGCUCACUGUGAAGGCCGCUGGAUGCUUCUCUUAGGCAUGGUUUAAGCCUCCGAUUACUAAACCCCUUGCCCCACAAACGUCCACAUUGACGAGCCUCUUUUUAGUAACUGCUUCCCCGUAAUUCCUUCAGAGGUUGCUGUACCCUUCGCUGAUGUGCUGCCCUCCUGUAAAACCUCCAGAUGCCUUCCCACGUAAUGCCCCUUUCAGAUGCUUUAAGCUGAGAGCUUAAACCACAGGUACCAUGGCUGACGCCUGCCAGGUUUCUGCUGCAGAUAAUCUAUGAUGGGAGGGGCAUAUUUUUUACUUCAUUACUUAUGUAAACUCUUGUUCCAGAAAGCUUUAAUGUGUGUGGGAGUGUUCUGGGUCUAUUAGGUCUGUGCGCAUGGGUGUGGGCAUUUGCCUGUGUCCACCGGGUGGGUCUCAUUAUGAAAUGUAUGUUUAUGUAGGGCUUUAAUGGCUGAAAAUGGCAAAGAGAUGAAUAGACCACUUGGCCCCAUGUGUAAUUGCCAGGCCCCUUCUGUGCUCAAAUGAGGUGUCCGAGUGAAGGUCAGCCCUUCCCUUCUGUAUUUGGGGCCUAUUUAUGCCACCAGUAAUUUUAUAAGAAAUCUGAAUAGUUCUCCCCUUUGAGUGCAUUUAACUCUUUAGUAUCUUCUCUCUUACCUAUUUGAGCCCCUCUAGCUACAGUCUGGCUUAAAUGAAAGGGGAAUUAUAUGCUUAAGAAAAAGUAGGACACGGUUGAGGCAGUUUGCUGACUGAAUACGCGAAGAAGGACCUGAUGGGCUCAUAUGCACCACUGCCAUCACAGUCCCCAUCGUGAUGCAAGCUUAUAUGAUUCUUGAGAAACAGCCCAGAUCUCCUCUUAAGCGGAAAAGAGAUUGACCUUCUAGCAGAGGCAAAGGGCCCACGAGUCAACAUGAGGAGUUGUGCUGGUGGUAUGUGUGUUGGAGGCUGGGCUGGCUGAUUCACAGUGACGAGGAUGUCAAUAAUAACAAGAAUGAGAAUGAUGGUACCUAAUAAAGACUUUUUUUCCCAA
rnacentral:lncRNA from 1 species